AGAGUUUGAUCAUGGCUCAGGAUUAACGCUGGCGGUAUGCCUAACACAUGCAAGUCGAACGGAAUACUAAUUAAGAGAAUCUCACACUAGUGAGAGGUUCUCACGAGUAGUAUUUAGUGGCGGACGGGUGAGUAACACGUUGGAACCUGCCCCGAAGUGGGGAAUAACUGCUCGAAAGAGUAGCUAAUACCCCAUAGUAUCCGGUUUAUCCGGAUUAAAGAUUUAUCGCUUCGGGAGGGGCCUGCGUCUGAUUAGCUAGUUGGUGAGGUAAAAGCUCACCAAGGCGACGAUCAGUAGCUGGUUCGAGAGGAUGACCAGCCACACUGGGACUGAGAUGCGGCCCAGACUCCUACGGGAGGCAGCAGUGAGGAAUCUUCCACAAUGGGCGCAAGCCUGAUGGAGCAAUACCGCGUGCAGGAAGACGCUUUUCGGAGUGUAAACUGCUUUUGUCGUCGAAGAUUAUGACUGUAGACGAAGAAUAAGGACCGGCUAACUACGUG
rnacentral:rRNA from 1 species